ensembl:snRNA U6 U6 spliceosomal RNA
GUGCUCACUUCGGCAGCACAUAUAUUAAAAUUGGAACAAUACAGAGAAGAUUAGCAUGGCCCUUAAGCAAGGAUGACACAAUAAUUUGUGAUGCAUUCCGUAUUUUG